UGACACUUAAAUGAACACGUGGAUGUUUUUGUUAUAGAACAAAACAUUGGAGACCCGUCGAGAGAUUCCACAUGGAUAACUAUCUGAGUGUCAGUGGUUAAUCUCUAACGUUCGGUAGUGAAAUUGGUCCUUUUACUUGAGGUCGUCAUGGUACCUUAUAUGAGGACAGUCAUACUUUGGCGGUGUUGGAUGUUGCUCUGAAAAGGGCCGCUAAUACGACAUCGUUCGGGUACGUCAAGAAUCGUAUGAAGGUUGUGAUUGAUCAAUAAAGGAUUCGUCACUCUUAGAUAGUAGGAGAUUAUGAUCUGCGUUUCAUUCAAUUAAGUCAAUGAUGAAAUCCUUGGCCAAGGUGUACUCAUAAGUCGAAAAGGAGUUUUCGAUUUAUAUUGACUUAAUAGUGGAGUGAAAG
rnacentral:lncRNA from 1 species